UCUAAUCUCUUCUGCAGCAACAAGGAAUGAGGUUUUGUGACAAAUAUCCCCUAAUGACCAUAGGAAUGAAAUUUUGUGAUAAGAUGCAACCGUUUUUGUUCCCCCAAACAAGACACAUUAUCUCCAAGUCUUGCUUCUCAACAUGUUAGGAGAACAAAUGGAGGACUUUGAGAUUUCAAACCAUUUGCUUCAAUACCAGAAAUCUACUUUCUUUUGGAUCAAGGACUCAAGUGAAUUGAAGAGUGGUUCUGUGGUACUUGCUGGGAGUUACACAUCAAGGAUUCCAGGUACUGUGCACGAAGUUGAAAGGGAGCAGAACUGAAGUGGUGGCUUUUGGCAUUUUGCUGCUUGUCAACUCCUGCCUUUUGAGGUCUUUUAUCCUAUUUUGAAAUCCUGAUGUUCUUUGGUGUAUUGAGCCUUUAUUUUGCUGGAACUAUUGUUGUGGAAAGUUGAACUCAGCUUGUUGUAAAUCUGUGUAAAGGCUCACUUUUGCUUUGUGUAAACAUCUAGGCUAGUCAUCUAUUGAAUCACUCUCAGUGAUCUAUUUUGAGCCAUGUAUAUAUUAAAGGCCAUGUUUCUCAGCUCU